GAUGAACGCUGGCGGCGUGCCUAAUACAUGCAAGUCGAGCGAACGGACGAGAAGCUUGCUUCUCUGAUGUUAGCGGCGGACGGGUGAGUAACACGUGGAUAACCUACCUAUAAGACUGGGAUAACUUCGGGAAACCGGAGCUAAUACCGGAUAAUAUUUUGAACCGCAUGGUUCAAAAGUAAAAGACGGUCUUGCUGUCACUUAUAGAUGGAUCCGCGCUGCAUUAGCUAGUUGGUAAGGUAACGGCUUACCAAGGCAACGAUGCAUAGCCGACCUGAGAGGGUGAUCGGCCACACUGGAACUGAGACACGGUCCAGACUCCUGCGGGAGGCAGCAGUAGGGAAUCGGCCGCAGUGGGCGAAAGCCUGACGGAGCAACGCCGCGUGUGUGAUGAAGGUCUUCGGAUCGUAAUACUCUGUUAUUAGGGAAGAACAUAUGUGUAAGGAACUGUGCACAUCUUGACGGUACCUAAUCAGAAAGCCACGGCUAACUACGUG
rnacentral:rRNA from 1 species